rnacentral:rRNA from 1 species
ACUCUUCGGAGUGACGUUUAGCGGAUCUAGCGGCGGAUGGGUGAGUAACACGUGGGCAACCUGCCUAUAAGACUGGGAUAACUUACGGAAACGUGAGCUAAUACCGGAUGAAACCUCUUAUCACCUGGUAAGAGGAUGAAAGAUGGCUUUUAGCUAUCACUUAUAGAUGGGCCCGCGGCGCAUUAGCUAGUUGGUGAGAUAAAAGCUCACCAAGGCAACGAUGCGUAGCCGACCUGAGAGGGUGAUCGGCCACACUGGGACUGAGACACGGCCCAGACUCCUACGGGAGGCAGCAGUAGGGAAUCUUCCGCAAUGGACGAAAGUCUGACGGAGCAACGCCGCGUGAACGAAGAAGGUUCUCGGAUCGUAAAGUUCUGUUGUUAGGGAAGAACACGUACCAUUCGAAUAGGGUGGUACCUUGACGGUACCUAACGAGAAAGCCCCGGCUAACUACGUGCCAGCAGCCGCGGUAAUACGUAGGGGGCAAGCGUUGUCCGGAAUUAUUGGGCGUAAAGCGCUCGCAGGCGGUUUUUUAAGUCUGAUGUGAAAUCUUGCGGCUCAACCGCAAGCGGUCAUUGGAAACUGGAGAACUUGAGGACAGAAGAGGAGAGUGGAAUUCCACGUGUAGCGGUGAAAUGCGUAGAGAUGUGGAGGAACACCAGUGGCGAAGGCGACUCUCUGGUCUGUAACUGACGCUGAGGAGCGAAAGCGUGGGUAGCGAACAGGAUUAGAUACCCUGGUAGUCCACGCCGUAAACGAUGAGUGCUAGG